AGAGUUUGAUCCUGGCUCAGAAUGAACGCUGGCGGCGUGCUUAACACAUGCAAGUCGAACGAGAAAGGCGAAUUUCGGUUUGCCGAGUAAAGUGGCGUACGGGUGAGUAACGCGUAGGCAACCUGCCCAUGUGCUUGGGAUAACAGAGCGAAAGUUCUGCUAAUACCGGAUACGAUCAUGGAUCGAGAGAUCGAUGAUGAAAGUCUGCCACUCGGAGAAGCAGACGCACAUGGAGGGGCCUGCGUCCUAUCAGCUAGUUGGUAGGGUAACGGCCUACCAAGGCGACGACGGGUAGCUGGUCUGAGAGGAUGAUCAGCCACACUGGCACUGGAACACGGGCCAGACUCCUACGGGAGGCAGCAGUGAGGAAUUUUGCGCAAUGGCCGCAAGGCUGACGCAGCAACGCCGCGUGGGUGAUGAAGGCCUUCGGGUCGUAAAGCCCUGUCAGGUGGGAAGAAAGUCACGAGGUCGAAUAGGCUUUGUGUUUGACGGUACCACCAGAGGAAGCACCGGCUAACUCCGUGCCAGCAGCCGCGGUAAUACGGAGGGUGCGAGCGUUAUUCGGAAUUACUGGGCGUAAAGCGCGUGCAGGCGGGAGAGUAAGUCUGAUGUGAAAGCCCCGGGCUUAACCUGGGAAGUGCAUUGGAUACUGCUUUUCUUGAGUACUGGAGAGGAAGGGGGAAUUCCCGGUGUAGAGGUGAAAUUCGUAGAGAUCGGGAGGAAUACCAGUGGCGAAGGCGCCCUUCUGGACGGUUACUGACGCUGAGACGCGAAAGCGUGGGGAGCAAACAGGAUUAGAUACCCUGGUAGUCCACGCCGUAAACGAUGAUCACUAGGUGUAGCGGGUACUCAUUCCUGCUGUGCCGUAGCUAACGCGUUAAGUGAUCCGCCUGGGGAUUACGGUCGCAAGACUAAAACUCAAAGGAAUUGACGG
rnacentral:rRNA from 1 species